UUUUACAAUUCUUCAUCCCUCCUGCUCUUCCUUGUUUCCCUAUAAUGGAUUUUGAUUUAUUUGUUGAUGGGAUCAGACUUCUCUCCUCUGUAUCAUCAGGAGCCUUUACAAGUUUUCUGCUAAGGGAAGGGAUAGCAAGAUUUGCAUUAUGGGGCUUUUUUGUUAUCUUCCCUCCACUGCAACUGAGAUUUGAGAAACCAUGCAUGUGAGUGUCUGUCUGUGUAAGCAACGUGGUGAUGAUCACUUUGAUCAGCCCUGGUACCAGCACUGCCAGCCCUUUUCCCACUGCACACAGGAGCACAUCCCAUAAAUCCGGAGUGACUGCAGCCAGCCAUCUGCAAGGGAGCCAACAUUCAGCUGCAACGAGCAGGAUUCAGCAAAGGGAAAGAAGAUAAAACAAAGGAGACCACGGACCCAGCAUUGCCUCCAUUUCAGCCUCGAGUCUGUGGUGCUGCCUUGGUUCCAGAUGCCAUCAGGACAGUGACAGCACUUCAGCCUCUGACAGGAUGGGCUGAAAGAGCUGGAACCCCACUUGCUGCUGCAGAGAGGCAUCCACCAGAAGCUGACCUCCUUAUCUUGAAUUUCAUAUGUAAUGAGUAGCUAAAUCUGACACCAAAUUAUUUUAGGAAGAAAAUUCAAAGUCAAGCCAUUUCCUUUGAAAAAGCCAUUUGAAACCUUUGGGGAACAGAUAUGGAAACAUAAUUUAAAACUCAUUUCCCUACACAAGUGAUUGGGAUUAAUUUCAGUAAAUCGGGUGUUUACUAUGCACAGAACAUCUCCUCUCUCACCACAAGCCUUGGACACUUUGGACUACUCUUUCAUUGGACUACACUUUCAAAAGUGCUCCCUCAUUCUGCUUGUGUAAUUCAGAUUUGGUUUUAUCUGCAAGAAAACGCCUCUUCAGUUAGUGAGCCUGAGCCGGCUGUGGCUGAGGGAAAGUGCCUGGGUGGGCUGUGCCACAGGGAAGCAGCAGCAGCAGCACUGCAGUCCCAGCCCGAGCCAUGCCAGGGACAGGCACCUCCACUGGCCGUACCCAGGGGCUGGGGGAGAAGCCGUGCUGGCUGCCACCAGCUCUGCUGGAAAGCACUGCUUGCAUUUGUAAUGCAAAGCAGACAUGAUUUCAGCACCUGAUCUCUUCGACAACAAAGGCUGUAGAAGAUUAGAAAUACUUAGAUUUGCACUUCAUUAAAAAAUGUAGUUCCCUCUGUAAAAGGAAUUGGUUUUCUUAACUCAUUUGCCGAGCUUCUCUCUUGAGUGUAUUUGCAUUUGUGCCUUUAGUGUAUUCCGGUAGUUCUAUGAACUGUGGAUUUUUUUCCCCACCAAUUAGUUAAUCUGGGGCUAUUUUAUUGAAGUCUUUUUGGCAUUUAAAAUAUGUAGAUGACAACGUUAAUCCGAUUAAAGUUUACGUAAAGUUGAUAAUACAAAAUGUAAAAAGGCAGUGCAAGGUACAAUUAUUAACAUAAUUAUUUUCAUUAUCAAUACAAUUAUAUUUUUCAGUUGUUGAUUGCUUAACCUUUUAAUUUUUUUCUCCAUUUUUUUCAUUAGCUCUAAUCUACUGCAGUGAGAGGCAGUUCUCUGCUUCUUCAAGCAGUAUGAAGGUAGAAGUGGAUAGAACUAUUAGCAGAGGGAUAAAAGUCUUUUAUCUCUUUCUGUCUGGCUGAAUUCCAGUGAACUAAACUCAGCCAGCAGGACUGUUCAUUUUUCUAGGGGGAUGAGCAAUUGUGGUCUCAGUUUAUUUUCCAGUCCUGAAUGGUUUCACUGAAAAAUCAUGACAAUCUAUAGGCUUUUAGGUAUUAUCAGGAAAAAGAGCCAAAACAUACUAUUUCACCCCUGUAAGUGUCCCAGGAAUUAUUUUAAAGGCCCACUCUAUUCUGUUUCACUGGCAGGCAACCAGCGGCAUUUCAUCAGUGCAAUAGAGCAGCUCUUGCACCUGGGCAUGAUGGGCAGCAAAAUAAGUCAAUGCCUUAAGAACUGCAAAGUGAAAAUGGUGCAACAAACGAUGAGGAUGUGAUUUAAGACAGGCAUUCAGAGUAAAGAUGUAGGUUUAAUUUUAAUGAGAAAAAGAGGAAGAAGCUCAUGGGUGGUUUACAUAGGCUAAUUCUCAUGUGACACUGUUCUCCAAGGGAACUGAUUUGUUUUGACCUGAAACUUUCCUUUUUGUCCAUUCUAAAGGAGUGAUCAUGGAGACACUGUGAACUGGUGAAGUCUGAACUGAAGGAAACUGCUGGCUUUGAAGCCCACAAGCGCACAUGAGUUCCCACACCUACACUAAGCUACAGUUGGGACUAUCAGUGGAUGAUGUUUUUUCCUCUGGGAUUUUCAUGUUGCUUUGCAGGCAGCACUCACUUGAACUAAUGAAAGCAGAUGCUUCCAAACCUAAAUCUAUAUCCCUAAGGGUAGCAAUUCAAAGUUGAACUUCUUGAUGUAAAUUAAGGAAGACUUAAUUCAAAAGGCUUGUAUAUGUAAAAUGUUUCAUCCACAUCUAACCCUGGGAUUUCUUGAUUUCUCAGUUAAAGGAACAGUUUAAGAAACUAGAAUUCUGUUCUUACUAACACCAUGUCAGAACAAUGUGUUUUGUGGCAUCUUUUUCAUCCUGUGUAUUUGGUUUGAUCCUCUAUGAAAUGAGUCUGUAAUAAUAAAUUCAUUUUUGGGUUUAAUUAGAUUCUACAAAUCCUUCAAAAUUUCCAUUUAUUUAUGUUUGCAUGUGCAUGGUUCUUUGUCUUGCUUUGGUAAAGUGUCUCCUAAACUGCAUGAGGCUGCAGUUUGUGAAAUGCCUGGGGAGGUGGCUAUGUCAGUUGAAAUUAGGGUGAAUUGUGCAUGAAGCACGUAUUUUCCUCAUAGACAUGAUCUCAGCAUCAAUGAAUAAAAAAUAUUUGUGCAGGCUCUCCCAAUGGGAAGCAAGUGAAUGGAAAAUGAGAGCUGCUCUUAAUCUGUGUGAUACCUUAAGAAAGCACACAGGAACCAAUUGGGUCUUUCAGGCACAAUUAAGGGUUGCAGAGCUACCCUUAAAGAAAACCCAGUGUGCAGCUGUCAUUCAAAAACUCAGCUCCCAGGCUACCUGAAUGAAAGGCUGAGGUACAACACAGCAUUAGAGAAGCAAUGGAGGAGAAGACAGCCAUCAGAAAGGUUUAUUCUCUAAAUGAGCAGCAAAUGCCCAUUAAAUAUUAAAAUGAUGACCAUACAGAAUAGCAGAUUAAUGUACAGUUCUGAAACAUGAGUCGUGAUGCAGUGCUUAGCAUGUGUGCUGGAUAAAACCUUGGAGCCUUAUUUUUGCAUAGAUUAUUAAAGAUUGUAUUAAUUCCUCUAAUGCCUAGGAAGCUACUGUGACUGACUUCUUAUCCUAAAACAGUUGGCAGGAUCUAAAGUUGAAUCCUGACAAGACUACAGUAAGACCACCAUUGGGAGGUUUUUCAAUCCCUUUUCUGGCACACAGGACAGUUCCUGGCCUCUGCACGCAGCCAGUGUUGUACUCCUUGAUUCUGCCCUUCUGAGCAAAAGGAGCAUGGUCCAAGAUUCACACAUUUCUGAGCCUGGGAGCCCAUUCACCUCAUCCCAGGUAUUCCACAAAAUGUGGAUGUCCAGUGUGGCCAAGGAUAUAACACAUUCCGAGUGAAUUAUGAGAUGCUGUUAAACAACACUUUAGUUACAGAACUAAAGUGGGAGGUGAAAGGUGUCUAAUUAGUAAGAAAAGGAACAGAAGAAAGAACGAAGAGAUAACAAUAACGAGGCAAGGGAGGAAAAAGGUGCUUAGUGAUGCCCAUCAUGAAUACAAACACAUGAAAGCAACUCACAAAUAGGCAACCCCUAAUUGAGCUUUUUUUUUUUGGUGCCACUAUGUUAUUGUAAACAGCUGAAGGGAAAGCUUUUUGAAAGAAACAAGCAUGGAUUACAAGAGAAGAGGAAACAAUAUUCAUGAAGCAUUUAAUGAUCAUCAGGCUUCCUAAUGCAAUGCCUCAUCCCAAAUAUUAAAAAUGCUUUGAAGUCAGACAGCUGCUGUCUCUUCUUCCUCUCCAAAAAUGUGGUCUUCUAAAGAUAGCAUGUUAUCCAAAAGAAGCAUACUUCAAAAUUUUUAUAA